rnacentral:rRNA from 1 species
AACGAACGCUGGCGGCAGGCUUAACACAUGCAAGUCGAGCGCCCCGCAAGGGGAGCGGCAGACGGGUGAGUAACGCGUGGGAACGUACCCUUUGCUACGGAAUAGCUCCGGGAAACUGGAAUUAAUACCGUAUGUGCCCUACGGGGGAAAGAUUUAUCGGCAAAGGAUCGGCCCGCGUUGGAUUAGCUAGUUGGUGGGGUAAUGGCCUACCAAGGCGACGAUCCAUAGCUGGUCUGAGAGGAUGAUCAGCCACAUUGGGACUGAGACACGGCCCAAACUCCGACGGGAGGCAGCAGUGGGGAAUAUUGGACAAUGGGCGCAAGCCUGAUCCAGCCAUGCCGCGUGAGUGAUGAAGGCCUUAGGGUUGUAAAGCUCUUUCGCCGGAGAAGAUAAUGACGGUAUCCGGAGAAGAAGCCCCGGCUAACUUCGUGCCAGCAGCCGCAGUAAUAC